UACGUAGGGGGCAAGCGUUGUCCGGAAUUAUUGGGCGUAAAGCGCGCGCAGGCGGCCUUGUAAGUCUGUCGUUUAAACUCGGAGCUCAACUUCGAGUCGCGAUGGAAACUGCAAAGCUUGAGUGCAGAAGAGGAAAGUGGAAUUCCACGUGUAGCGGUGAAAUGCGUAGAGAUGUGGAGGAACACCAGUGGCGAAGGCGACUUUUCUGGGGCUGUAACUGACGCUGAGGCGCGAAAAGCGUGGGGGAGCAAACAGG
rnacentral:rRNA from 1 species